GGGGGGGAAGUGGAACGGCGGUGAAGUGGUGGUGUGCAAGCAGAGGAGGGGGACAAAGGGAGCUAAGCGGAGGCGGAGGCGCGGGUUGGGGCGGAGGCGGAGGCGCGACGGGCGGUGCGGAGGGGUGGUGUGCUCGAGGAAGGGGAAGGCGGAGCGGCGAGCUUUAUUGGCGCGGUGCGGCUCAGCGGUGGUGCGGCGGAAGGGGGCAGCACGACGGGCGGUGCGGAGGGCGGUGUGCUCGGGGAAGAAGAAGGCGGAGCGGUGACGGUGGC
rnacentral:lncRNA from 1 species